CGACCAUCAAGCCUUAAUUGCUUGUGUUGGAGCACUAUAGUGAAUGCUGUAGGCUCUGAAACUCAGCGGCGGACCCGUUGUGAUCCCGAACGCAGUAGUUUUCCACUCGUUUAGGGUAUCCAAUGGGUGGCUCUAGCCGUUAAACCCCCCAAUUUUACAU
rnacentral:misc_RNA from 1 species